GCACAUCCCCUCCCCUCGUUCCCCCAUGUUCUCUCUCUCCCACUCCCAAUCCAAUCGGGACCGGAAUCGAUCCCGCCCGGCGCUGCCCAUCGCCGCCGCCCAAAGCCACCUCGCGGCGCCCAUCCCUGGCGCCGCCCCGCCCUGUCACCGCCUCCUCCUCACCUCACCCCCGAGUCGCCCCCGACGCCCGUCCGCGCGCCGCCCUCGAUCUGGAACUGGGACUCCGUCCCGAUGCCACAGCCGCUUGGAGUCCCCCUCGCCGGAGCCACGACACCGCCGAACCGCGACCUCGUCUCCUCCUCGCGCCGCUUCAUCAAGCCUCAUCGCCCCCGUUCCUCUACGCGCCCACCCCGAGACCGAUGCCGCCGUUGCGAUCGACUACGUCUCUGACGAGCCUUCUUCCUUUCAACAGAGCUUCCAGGCAAGCAAACCCCCCAUGACGGAUUCCAGGAGCCAAACGACACCACUGAUGACUACUACAACCCCAAGGGUGCCUACUA